UGCAUUCCUGGGACAUGUGACAGCAG
rnacentral:piRNA from 1 species